CACAUUCAGAAUCCUCUGUUGAAAUCACAAUUCGAAAAAUGAAUUGUUUGUGUCUGUUGCAUUGCUUGAGAACUUCAAUGUAACUCAAGUUGAAAAGUUUUGCUGGGUUCUUUCAUAAUAAAAUAUGUCAUGAAACAUUAAAGCAGGGUUUGUUUAAUUGUGUGUCGUUUCUUGCGUAUUUGGUCCUUUAGGCAUUAUAAACAGCCAAAGCCUGUCUCUUCCUCUCUCUCUACCGACACUUGGAACGUUUCUCUUUGCAAAACGAGCGCUCCCUUUCCAUAAAAAAUGAAAGCCUUGCAACCAGCACCAGGGCACUCAAAUAUCAUUGGAGAAUUGAAACCUGUCACACUGCAUUCCAUAAUUUUCCAGCAUCACAGGAAUGAUUCACCCUGAUUGAGACUGCAGGCAAACAAUGAACUGCAUACAAAGGGGGAAGAACCACCCAUCACCUCGCUCUUUCAUUUCUUGUUUCGCAGACCCUCUGCAUGAUCUGGAUUUGUAGAACAGGUGUUUGAGCUUUUCUUCAAGCUGUUAUUACUUGGAAGUGAUUUUCUCCUCCUCCUAAAAGGGUACUUCCAGAAAAUGGGUAGCAGUGGCAAGGAAAAGGUAAGAUUGCCUAGAUGCUUGACCUAAUAUUUGUCUGAACUUUGGCUGGUCAUACCCAGGGACACUUUUCUCAUGUUCCUCUUUUUCAGACCUAAGAGAACAUGAUUUUCCUAACAUCCCAAUAUUAUGCUUAUUUGCUCAGAAAUAAAACCUGCAACCCUUUGGUUCUAUAAAAGGCAAAGGCAUGUGUGCAGUGGGGGGGGGGGAGGCACACAACACAAACACAACCUAGCAGCAUGUGCUAAAGGUUGGUUAUUUGUAUUGUACUAAAGUCGAUGGGGCUACAUAACUUGAAGAAUUUUCUUUAAGUUACAAAUGAGGUAGAAUGGAAGGGCAAUGUAAUAUUUCAUUUUAAAUACAAUCUGCACUAAAGAGAGAGAGCAAGAAACGCAACUGAACUUUGAAAAAAACGUAUGUCCAAACUGUGUCUGUUAAGAACUACAAUGAACGUGUUUCCCCCCUUUUUGUUUCACAAAUGCAGUUAUUUAUUUAUAACAUAUUAAAAUAUAAAACAUUGUCUAUCUGAUCGAUUUUACAUAGAAAAUAUGAAUACAGUAAUAAAAUACUGAAAAUAUUUGAAGCACCAGACCAUUAAGAGCAUUAAUUGGCAUAUGCUUAUGAAUAUAUUCUGAAAACAUUUAACAAAGUGAAAUUAAAUCUAAUCCAACUCACUGAUAAGCAUUUUAAAAAAUAUUAAUCUGAGACUAGAAUUAUUCUAUAUUUUGUACUUACAGUUGACUUGCUGAGGAACUACAAUAAUAGAAUUUAACUGAAGGUAAUGCAACUGAUGAGAGACCAAUUAAUCAAAUUGUUUUGGCUUGUUUGUGAAAUAUGAAGUGACUUGCAUAAGAAAGAUAUGUUUCUUAUGAUCAGCUGAAACCGUAAGCCAAUACAGAACAAAUCCAUGGGCACAAAGGUAAAUUCUAUAAAAGCAUUUCAUACCUGUAUAAUUGAAUGCUUGACUAAAAUCACCUUGCAUUAUUAUUGUCUAGAAUAUGUUCAAUUUUAUAAAAGUCAAUUCAAAACCUUUGGUGAAUGUUUCAGUAAAAUGAGUAGGUAGCAAGAGACCCAUCUUCCUAGGGUUUGGGAUUUGAAACAAGGUGGCACUAUAUAGGAAGCCAGCAGACUCAUAAAAUUAUUAUAACAAGCCAAAUAAAUCUGCUGUCAUCCUCUCUAAUUUCAAGCUUAGCUAAAUGAACAUAGCCAAAUUCUACACAUUAAGGUAACAGUCAAAUAGAUAUACAUGCUUAAGCCUACUGAAACCAAUAGCUGAAAAUUGGUUUAACUUGUAAAAGUAAACUGCAUUUCCCACAAAGUUAUUACUAAUAAAUUAAAAAUAAAAUACAAGAACCCAGAAGAGUGAGCAGCAUUAUCAAGGUGAGAUACACUGUAGUGGAAGAAGUAGUAUGUGAUAUAAAUUAUGGCCUCAAUCAUGAGAGCUUAGUGCCACUGGAGUGAAGCAACAUCACUGCAUAUGCAGAAGCUCAGCUACUCAGGGAUUUUUUUUCCUUUACAUAAAAUAGGAACAGCUGAAGAGUGUAGCAAAAAGUGCCUAUGUGCACAUAGAGCUUCUCAUACGCAGAAGGAAAGAGGAAGUCCCUGCACAUGCUGUGUGCUCCAGAGCAUAACCAAUGAGUGCCUGAUUGCGAGUACAGGCUGGUUUAGAUUUUUUGCUUCAAAUUAUUCUACAGCAGAAAGAAGCGCUGAGAAGUGAUCUUAGGACUGCAUCUGCAAACAUGACUUACUGCACCAUGUAUUGUUACAACUUGUCUGAUUUACAAAAGAUUAAAUGUUAACCAAAACAUGA